rnacentral:rRNA from 1 species
GAACGGCAGCACAGGAGAGCUUGCUCUCUGGGUGGCGAGUGGCGGACGGGUGAGGAAUACAUCGGAAUCUACCUUUUCGUGGGGGAUAACGUAGGGAAACUUACGCUAAUACCGCAUACGACCUACGGGUGAAAGUGGGGGACCGCAAGGCCUCACGCGAUUAGAUGAGCCGAUGUCCGAUUAGCUAGUUGGCGGGGUAAUGGCCCACCAAGGCGACGAUCGGUAGCUGGUCUGAGAGGAUGAUCAGCCACACUGGAACUGAGACACGGUCCAGACUCCUACGGGAGGCAGCAGU